rnacentral:rRNA from 1 species
AACGAACGCUGGCGGCAUGCCUAACACAUGCAAGUCGAACGAGACCUUCGGGUCUAGUGGCGCACGGGUGCGUAACGCGUGGGAACCUGCCCUUAGGUUCGGAAUAACUCCCCGAAAGGGGUGCUAAUACCGGAUAAUGUCUUCGGACCAAAGAUUUAUCGCCUUUGGAUGGGCCCGCGUUGGAUUAGCUAGUUGGUAGGGUAAAAGCCUACCAAGGCGACGAUCCAUAGCUGGUCUGAGAGGAUGAUCAGCCACACUGGGACUGAGACACGGCCCAGACUCAUACGAGAGGCAGCAGUGGGGAAUAUUGGACAAUGGGAGAAAGCCUGAUCCAGCAAUGCCGCGUGAGUGAUGAAGGCAUUAGGGUUGUAAAGCUCUUUUACCCGGGAUGAUAAUGACAGUACCGGGAGAAUAAGCUCCGGCUAACUCCGUG